rnacentral:pre_miRNA from 1 species
AGGCAGUGCUUUGCUAGCUGGCUGUUAUAAUUUUAUUUUAACAGUUGCUAGUUGCACUCCCCU